AUGGAAACGUUUCCCUCCUCCCUGAGUAUUUUGCAAGUCCUCCUAGACGAGAGAAGUCUGGGUCCAUGCAAAUCAGGGCUGAGCAUCCUGAAUAUGCAGUUCCUUGGACUGCCACCAAGAGAAAACCUAAGCAGGAGACAUGAUGUCACCUUCGGGAAGGAGACUCUUCGGCUGUCUGGGGUGAGGGGAGGAGUAACGAGGAAGAUCGCUGGCCUCCAACUCCCAAGACCCUGUGAAGAUGACUCCACGCAGGAUAAGGCCACUGUCUGUGAGUCAGAGUCAGGAAAAGAAGAUGGGAAAUCCAACAAGGUGUCUGCUCCCAGUUGGGACAAAAUGCCAUUUGCUUUGAGGGUCCGUGUUUGGCAAAAACCAAGAGUGGUUUCUGCAAAGGAAAAAGAUUGCUGUUGUGGGAUUUUGCUGUGAAUGCUCCUUGCAAAUCAUUUUUCCCCCAAAGCAAAUUCACUGAGAAGCCAAGCGCAGAGCUGCUGGGAAGGCUGUGGGAACUAAGAAUGUUCACACCCCCAGUCAUCUGUGGAAAUGAGAGGGUUUGGGGAGAGUGAUGAGGGAGGACAAGCCAUUAACACUUGGAGAAACAUCAUGCCCAGUUUCCAAGAAUUCAACUCUAGGGCCGACCGGCCAAUCUGCCAGCUGCCAUGCCGCAUCCCAUAUCUGGGUGCAGGUUCAAGUCCCAGAUGAUUUGCUUCUGAUCCAGCUCCCUGCUAAUGCACCUGGAAAAGCAGCAGAAGAUGGCCCAAGUACGUAAGCUCUGCCACCCAUGUGGGUGACCAGAAUGGAGUUCUUGCCUCCUGGCUUUGACUUAGCCCAACCCUGGCUGUUGUAGACACUUGGGGAGUGACCCAAAAGAUGGAAAAUUCUGUGUGUGUGUUUGUGUGGCCCUCCAUCCCUGUUGCUCUGCCUUUUUUUUUUUUUAAUUUGACAGAUAGUGAGGGAGAGAGGCAAAGAGAAAAGUCUUCCUUCCAUUGGUUCACCCCCCAAAUGGCUGCUACGGCUGGCUCUACGCUGAUCCGAAGCCAGGAGCCAGGUGCUUCCUCCUGGUCUCCCAUGCAGGUGCAGGGCCCAAGCACUUGGGCCAUCCUCCACUGCACUCUCAGGCCACAGCAGAGAGCUGGCCUGGAAGAGGAACAACCGGAACAGAAUCCGGCGCCCCAACUGGGACUAGAACCGGGGUGCCGGCGCCACAGGCGGAGGAUUAGCCAAGUGAGCCAUGGCGCCGGCUGUCUAUUAAGGAUUUCUACCGGGCCUGAGAAUUAAAUUGGCAUCCACAUACAGUAUCAGAGUGCCUGGGUUUGAGACCUAGUUCCAUUCCCAAUUCUAACUUCCUAUUAAUGGGACCCCUGGGAGGUAGCAGGUACUCAAGUACUUGGGUCCCUGCCACUACAUGAGAUCCAGGUGGAGUUCUUGGUUCUUGGCUUCAGCCUGGCCUGCUCUCAGCUUUUGUGCGCAUUUGGGGAGUGCACCUCCUUUUCCUCCUCCUCCUAAUAAAUAAGUAAAAAGCAGAGAAAGAAGAAAGAAA
rnacentral:lncRNA from 1 species